CGGGACGGGUGAGUAAUGUCUGGGAAACUGCCUGAUGGAGGGGGGUAACUACUGGAAACGGUAGCUAAUACCGCAUAACGUCGCAAGACCAAAGAGGGGGACCUUCGGGCCUCUUGCCAUCGGAUGUGCCCAGAUGGGAUUAGCUAGUAGGUGGGGUAACGGCUCACUUAGGCGACGAUCCCUAGCUGGUCUGAGAGGAUGACCAGCCACACUGGAACUGAGACACGGUCCAG
rnacentral:rRNA from 1 species